rnacentral:rRNA from 1 species
UACAGGGGGUGCAAACGUUGCUCGGAAUCAUUGGGCGUAAAGCGCACGUAGGCGGUUCGUUAUGUCGGAUGUGAAAGCCCUUGGCUUAACCGAGGAAGUGCAUCCGAAACUGGCGAGCUAGAGUACUAAAGAGGAUCGCGGAAUUCCCGGUGUAGAGGUGAAAUUCGUAGAUAUCGGGAGGAACACCCGUGGCGAAGGCGGAUCUCUGGGCAGUUCCUGACACUGAGGCACGAAGGCCAGGGGAGCAAACGGG